rnacentral:miRNA from 1 species
AUGUUGUCUGGCUCGAGG